GGGGAUGUAGCUUAAUGGUAAAGCACUUACCUAGCAUGUGGAAGGCCCUGGGUUCAAUCCUCAGUACCAACA
rnacentral:tRNA from 1 species